rnacentral:rRNA from 1 species
AGAACGAACGCUGUUCGCAUGCCUAACAAAGCAAGUCGAACGAGACCUUCGGGUCUAGUGGCGCAAUGUUUGCCCAACGCGUGGGAAUCUGCCCUUAGGUACGGAAUAACUCAGGGAAACUUGAGCUAAUACCGUAUAAUGACUCCGGUCCAAAGAUUUAUCGCCUGACGAUGAGCCCGCGUAGGAUUAGCUAGUUGGUGAGGUAAAGGCUCACCAAGGCGACCAUCCUUAGCUGGUCUGAGAGGAUGAUCAGCCACACUGGGACUGAGACACGGCCCAGACUCCUACGGGAGGCAGCAGUGGG